rnacentral:pre_miRNA from 1 species
GUGCUUCAUCCCUCCGAUAAGCUUUUCAGCGUGUUCACAGUAGAGUUUAUAUUGUAGCUCUUUUCAGUCCGUUCAGGGUAGAGUUUAUGAUAUAGCUAUGUACAGUGACAGCUGAAAAGCUUAUCGAAGGGAUCGAGCAC